GACGAACGCUGGCGGCGCGCCUAACACAUGCAAGUCGAACGAGCGAGAGAGAGCUUGCUUUCUUGAGCGAGUGGCGAACGGGUGAGUAACGCGUGAGGAACCUGCCUCAAAGAGGGGGACAACAGUUGGAAACGACUGCUAAUACCGCAUAAGCCCACGGUGCCGCAUGGCACCGAGGGAAAAGGAGCAAUCCGCUUUGAGAUGGCCUCGCGUCCGAUUAGCUAGUUGGUGAGGUAACGGCCCACCAAGGUGACGAUCGGUAGCCGGACUGAGAGGUUGAACGGCCACAUUGGGACUGAGACACGGCCCAGACUCCUACGGGAGGCAGCAGUGGGGAAUAUUGCACAAUGGGGGAAACCCUGAUGCAGCGACGCCGCGUGGAGGAAGAAGGUCUUCGGAUUGUAAACUCCUGUUGUUGGGGAAGAUAAUGACGGUACCCAACAAGGAAGUGACGGCUAACUACGUG
rnacentral:rRNA from 1 species